UGCCAGCCUGUGAAGAGAUGACUUUCACCAUGAUUAUUACUACAAAUUUAUUCUACAGAGGAUCAGAAUGCCAAAACGCUGGCAGCCAGGAUUCUAUCCUCAAAGCAAGAGACUGGAAGACUUGGAGAACUCAGUCCAGUCAAGAGAAACCUUCUAACAAGAUUGAUAGCAAGAGGUCCUCCCAAAAUGGCUCAUCCUGAUCAUGCUACAGAAAACACCUAGUAGAAGUGCCAAUGAUCCAUGCCUGGAAUUUAAUGAGGCACUUUCUUCUCAAAUCUGGCUUUCCUCCUGGCCCUCCCACUUUCUCUCAAAGGGCGAAGAGAAAGAAGAAAUGCCCAUCAAGGUUGAAUCAUGUUUGGCGGAGAAAUAAGCUUGUUUUA